CAGAUUAAGGCUAAUUUUGGACUACACUUAAAUUACAUUACAAUUGCUUAAAGCAGUACUGAUGUAUCUAGUAGUUUAGUGGGUUUAACUAAUGUCACAUCUGUUUUUAUUCAUUUCAGAUGCAGAACCUUUAGACACUGGAUUAAUGUUCUGGAUGAAGUCCAAUGUAUUUAUUGGAAAACAGUAGAGAAAUCUGCAAAUAAGUGGGUUGCAGACAUAAUUACUCAUCUGUCUUCCAUGCAUGUAGCAAAAGAAUGCAGAGGCCAUAUGAAUUCAUCUUGACUAAGGAACUCUUCACAGCACUGCAUCUGAACAGUCACAACCUCACAGAGCAGCACAACCACCCCACUCAGGAUCAGUGUUAUGGUGCCAUUUUGAAGCUGGAACCUCAUCUUGUGUACAGAAAAAGUAGAAUUGAAAAUUCACUGGUUGUCUUGUAUUGUGUGUGGCAAAACCUGGGAUAACACAUGGGAGCCUUCCAGGAAUUCCCGACACUUUACACCCAAGUCUCCUCAUGCCAACCGGUUUGCAAUAUGACAGUCUAGUCACCA